UACAUAGGCAGCGAACGUUGUUCGGAAUUACUGGGCGUAAAGAGUGUGUAGGCGGUGCUCUAAGUUCGGUGUGAAAUCUCCCGGCUUAACUGGGAGGGUGCGCCGGAAACUGGAGUGCUCGAGCGUGGGAGAGGAAAGCGGAAUUCCUGGUGUAGCGGUGAAAUGCGUAGAUAUCAGGAGGAACACCUGCGGUGUAGACGGCUUUCUGGACCAUUGCUGACGCUGAGACACGAAAGCGUGGGUAGCAAACAGG
rnacentral:rRNA from 1 species